UGGGGAAUAUUGGACAAUGGGGGGAGCCCUGAUCCAGCCAUGCCGCGUGUGUGAAGAAGGCCUUAUGGUUGUAAAGCACUUUAAGCGAGGAGGAGGGUACUGGUAUUAAUACUACCAGCUACUGGACGUUACUCGCAGAAUAAGCACCGGCUAACUCUGUGCCAGCAGCCGCGGUAAUACAGAGGGUGCGAGCGUUAAUCGGAUUUACUGGGCGUAAAGCGUGCGUAGGCGGCUAAUUGAGUCGGAUGUGAAAUCCCCGAGCUUAACUUGGGAAUUGCAUUCGAUACUGGUUAGCUAGAGUGUGGGAGAGGAUGGUAGAAUUCCAGGUGUAGCGGUGAAAUGCGUAGAGAUCUGGAGGAAUACCGAUGGCGAAGGCAGCCAUCUGGCCUAACACUGACGCUGAGGUACGAAAGCAUGGGGAGCAAACAGG
rnacentral:rRNA from 1 species